rnacentral:rRNA from 1 species
CUUCUGUCUCGGGGGGGGGAAACUUCUGUAGACUCGUUUGAACACAAAACUCGGGAGAAAAUCUUUUUUCCCCAAGAUUGUUUUUCAUUACUCGAGAAAAAAAAUGUGUGGGGUUUGAAAGCCUGAUCAAAUCCCCUUCUGUGUUUUAAAACAAAAAAAUACGCCCCGACUGGGGGGUAGGGAGGGUUUUUUUUCGGGCCCCCCGUUCGGGCACCAUAAGAAAAAAUAAAAACUCUUGCCCCCGGGGGGAAGUAUCUUCCACGGCAAAACAAAAAAAAUUGGCGGGAAGGGCCCCCCAGGGGGGCCCCUGCCGCUUAUUUUGCCCCAACAGGGGGGAACUCCCCAGGUCCAGACACAAUAGGGAUUGACAUAUUGAGACCUUUCUCUUGAUUUUGUGGGUGGUGGUGCAUGGCCGCUCUUAGUUGGUGGGGUGACUCGUCUGCUUAAUUGCGAUAACGAACGAGACCUUAACCUGCUAAAUAGCCCGCAUUGCUCCGGCAGUGCGCUGGCUUCUUAGAGGGACUUUCGGCUCAAGCCGAAGGAAGUUUGAGGCAAUAACAGGUCUGUGAUGCCCUUAGAUGUUCUGGGCCGCCCGCGCGCUACACUGACGGGGUCAGCGAGUUCCUUGGCCGAAAGGCCCGGGUAAUCUUGUUAGCCCCCGUCGUGCUGGGGAUAGAGCAUUGCAAUUAUUGCUCUUCAACGAGGAAUCCCUAGUAAGCGCUAGUCAUCAGCUUGCGUUGAUUACGUCCCUGCCCUUUUCUUCUCACCGCCCGUC